rnacentral:tRNA from 1 species
GCCCUAGUAGCUUAGCCAC